GACAGAGGUGCCAAGCGUUAGGCGGAAUUACUGGGCGUAAAGCGUGCGCAGGCGGUGAUGUAAGACAGUUGUGAAAUCCCCGGGCUCAACCUGGGAACUGCAUCUGUGACUGCAUCGCUGGAGUGCGGCAGAGGGGGAUGGAAUUCCGCGUGUAGCAGUGAAAUGCGUAGAUAUGCGGAGGAACACCGAUGGCGAAGGCAAUCCCCUGGGCCUGCACUGACGCUCAUGCACGAAAGCGUGGGGAGCAAACAGG
rnacentral:rRNA from 1 species